AAAAAUAUGAAACAAUAUUUUUCUGGAAUUAGCCAAGUAAGGUCGCCACCCCGAGUUUGAAUACCUCUGCAUUAACGUAAUCCGCUCUCCUCCGCUUCCAUCUUCUAAUUGCUUUGUGAAUCAACUGACAGUUCACAUUUUCAAAAAUCGGUCAAAACGACAAACAUCAAACCAAGUUUGUUAUCUGAGAAGGUUUCUGCUGAUGGUCAAAUUGAUGGAAAAGCUACAGAGAAGUGGUCAUUGUUUCGCAUACUACCUUUCUUAAAUGGAGAGAAGGUUCCAGCUGAAAGAUCCUGUGUUCCCGACACCAACCGUGGUGAUCACCGAUUGUGUAGAUGGGAGGCCGCUCAGUGGAAGUGUAAAUGUGAAGCUGAUUGGUGACGGUGGGGUAGAUAUCACACUUGCUGUGGCGGUGGCAUAUUCUUUGUAUCACAUCAAGUUGACUAUUCAAAGAACUUCAGGAAGACCAUGAGCUUCCUAGAAGCAUUUGUCUUUAAGCGCAAAACACAUGUGCCUAUUGCUGUGCAGAGGGUUUACAACUCUUUGUAGAGAACCAAAAUACUCUGCAAUGGAAAGUGUACAAGCAUAGUUAAUACACAAACAUGUUGUUAGAAUCAUUUAUACGUACUUACAAACAUUUCAUCCUGUUCUUCUACAGUACCUCUAGUUUUCUCAUUAUUUGUUAAAGCACAACGUGGAUUUAAUACUUGCUGGUAUUAAUCUGUAAGGCUGAUAUAAAGCCCUUUUCUCUUCUGUUGUGAAAAGGUUUAUUUUUUAACACCUUUGUUCAAGUUGUAAGUACACAAAAAUUAUACACAUGCUGACAAGAGAAGGUGUUUUGCAGUUGUUGCAGCAGACUGGUGUUAGUCGACCUGAAGGAAAUUACUGUGUACUAUUCUGAGACUAGGGUAGAUUGCAAUAGCCUAUUCUCGUAUAUAGGCUAUUUGUGUGGUAGGACUUGAGAUUCAUUAUUUUGUCACUGUUGGGCCGUGUAAUAGAUAUUUUCUAAAUAAAA
ensembl:lncRNA